rnacentral:snRNA from 1 species
GGAUGUGAGGGUGAUUGGGCUGUGACAUCUGUCACCAGGGUUGAUUCAGUUGAUCUGGCUGGCUAGGAGGAUGUCCCCUUCCUCCCUCAAUGCUCCAUGUAGUCCCUCCCCAAGCUGUGUGCUUGGUCAAAGAGGACGACCAUCCUGGACAGAGGAGGAUCGUUCCUUGGUGAAGGGUAUAUGAGUAGCUGGACUCCCUGCUAGAACCUCCAAACAAGCUCUCAAUUAAACAGAGGAUAUAAAUCUAUGCUUAGCAGUUUGUCUCUAUCAUCUAACAUAUCAAUACACUGCACUGCUCAAUUUA